GGGACGAACGCUGGCGGCGUGCUUAACACAUGCAAGUCGAGCGGAAAGGCCCUUCGGGGUACUCGAGCGGCGAACGGGUGAGUAACACGUGAGUAAUCUGCCCCUAGCUCUGGGAUAGCUCCGGGAAACCGGGAUUAAUACCGGAUACGACCACCUUAGACAUCUUUUGUGGUGGAAAGAAUUUCGGCUAGGGAUGAGCUCGCGGCCUAUCAGCUUGUUGGUGGGGUAACGGCCUACCAAGGCGACGACGGGUA
rnacentral:rRNA from 1 species